CAGGCGGAGCACAAAGGACUUUUAGGAUGGUGAACCUACCCAGUGAGAGACUACAAUGAGAUAAUUGGUCUUUCACAUUCCUCGUGCUGUCACCAAAAAUAACAGAGCAACAGCAGGGUGGAGGAAGAGCACCAGCACGGUGGAGGAAGAGCACCAAUGUGGCAGAUAAAGAGCACCAACAUGGCGGAGGAAAAGCACCAACAUGGCGGAGAAAGAGCGCCAACAUGGCAGAGGAAAAGCACCAACAUGGCGGAGGAAGAGCACCAACAUGGCGGAUGAAGAGCACCAACAUGAAGCUAACCGCGUUCUCUUCACGAAAAGCUUAUAAAUCACAGCUGCGCAUUGUCCAAUCAACAUUCAACAGUGAUUCUUUUGAAAGUGACUGCGAAGAUCUGAAACUCUCAAGGAAACACAGAGAAAUAGAUUACCAGCCACUCCAAAAGGUCGCCGCAACCCCGAGG